CCUACGGGAGGCAGCAGUGGGGAAUAUUGCACAAUGGGCGCAAGCCUGAUGCAGCAACGCCGCGUGAGGGACGACGGCCUUCGGGUUGUAAACCUCUUUUAGUAGGGAAGAGGCGAAAGUGACGGUACCUGCAGAAAAAGCACCGGCUAACUACGUGCCAGCAGCCGCGGUAAUACGUAGGGUGCAAGCGUUAUCCGGAAUUAUUGGGCGUAAAGAGCUCGUAGGCGGUUUGUCGCGUCUGCUGUGAAAACUGGAGGCUCAACCUCCAGCCUGCAGUGGGUACGGGCAAACUAGAGUGCGGUAGGGGAGAUUGGAAUUCCUGGUGUAGCGGUGGAAUGCGCAGAUAUCAGGAGGAACACCGAUGGCGAAGGCAGAUCUCUGGGCCGUAACUGACGCUGAGGAGCGAAAGCAUGGGGAGCGAACAGGAUUAGAUACCCUGGUAGUCCAUGCCGUAAACGUUGGGCGCUAGAUGUGGGGACCCAUUCCACGGUUUCCGUGUCGCNGCUACGCAUAGCGCCCGCCGUCGGGAGGACGGCCGCGACGACGUAAACGUUAAAACGUAAAGUUAGACGGCGUGAGACGUGCCGAACGGACGACGACGAGGGAGGUAGG
rnacentral:rRNA from 1 species